rnacentral:lncRNA from 1 species
ACAGUUUCUACUGAUCAAUGGAAAAGUGGUUCCAGUCACGAUAUAAGAAACAUUUCUGCUACUAAAGUUCAUCUAUUUCCUGUGAAAACCAACGAACAACCGAUUUCACUUACUGCACAGGCCAUAAAGAUACUGCCCAUAAUUCCUGAACAAGAACACUGUCAUCUGAGUACAUCAAGUAUUGAAUGUGGUACCAUAUGAAAUACAAUUUCUAUUGCAUGAAAGAAAGAAACAAUACACCACGGAAGACAGGAUCUCUAUUUCCAGUUUGGGAACUCUGUUAUCCAUCUUUUUAGGAGAAUGCCAGCUGUGCAGUUUAGUUGAGAAGCUUCAUUUUAUCUAACAGAACUACUUGGUAUUAAGAAAACAUGAAUAAUGAACGAACACACUUUGCUGUAGAAUCAACUUCUUUAGUAAAUUAUGGAUUCCCAUCUAUUUUCUGUUCAUUCAAGAUUUAUGCUUAAUCAUAAGGUCCUGAAAUAAUCCAUGCAAUAAUUUAUUUUUCUAACUGGGAGGAAAUUUAUAUUCUCCAUAGAAUAAAAUACUGAUAAAAAAUCGAAAUCA